rnacentral:rRNA from 1 species
UACGUAGGGGGCUAGCGUUGUCCGGAAUCAUUGGGCGUAAAGAGCGUGUAGGCGGCCCGGUAAGUCCGCUGUAAAAGUCAAAGGCUCAACCUUUGAAUGUCAGUGGAUACUGCAAGGCUCGAGUCCGGGAGAGGAGGGUGGAAUUCCCAGUGUAGCGGUGAAAUGCGUAGAUAUUGGGAGGAACACCGGUGGCGAAGGCGGUGAGCUGGGCAGUUGCUGACACUGAGGCGCGACAGCGUGGGGAGCAAACAGGG